UGCAAGCACAUAAAAAAUAAAGCUUGACGCCCAAAAGGUGAUGGCGAUUCUGAAACUAAGACGAGAGUUACUAUUUCAGAAUCAUAAAGUGCCACAGAGACGAGCUAUGUGGAAACACAUAGGUGAAACG
rnacentral:RNase_P_RNA from 1 species